CCUCUGCAUUCGGGCUUCAAAUUGGCCCAUCUAUAAUACUUCGGGCUGAAAGCCCAGCCCACUUUGCCCUUACCCAUCAUUCGAGCGAAAAUGGGAAGCCCUCUUUUUUUCGGUUACCUUCAAUUCUCCAUCUGUUUAGCGCGCCAUACGGAGAUAUUGUCGUCACUGCUUCACUCUAUGGUGCUGCUUCUCCAACUCUCACCUUCUCCACACGGCGAACGCUCGUCGUCGUCGUCGUCAUCGUCUUCUUCAUGGUCGAAAUCAACUCUUUGCAUGGCGCAUGGGAGCUCCGAUUACUUUUUGUCCUAGUGAAGAGGUAAAGUAAGUUUGCUGAAUUUGAAGCCAAAUUAUGAUUUAUGCUCGUAGUAUUUGCUCAAUUUCAGGUAAGCAAUCGGAUUCUCGAAAGGAACUCAUCGUGUUCUCAAAUAGGAUUUCCGGUCUAGAAGAAGCAAUGAGAAUCAGGACUUCCUUUGGUUGUUCGAUUGCUUGUAUUUGUGUGUGGAAGUUGAUUCAGAUGUCUUACCAGAGGUCUCCAGCGAGCAUCAAUUUCAUGAUUCUGAAGGCAUUGCUCGUGUGAGGGCUGCUUGUGAACUUGCAGCUCAUGUCUUGGGACUUUGCAGGGAAAUUGGUACGUCUGAAGAUGAAAUUACACACUACAUUUGGCAUGUAUGAUGUGAAAAUGCUGUAUUAGUGGAUUCAUUUGUGGCUGGUCUAAAUUUUUUUCGAAGAGAGGUGUACGUUGGUUGGGUUUUGCCUGUUAGGGGUAGCAUGUUAUUCACUGCAUUACAGUGUUGAAGUGUUCAACUUAAACCUAUGAGCUAGCAGAUGGAAAAGUCUAAACAACAUUUAAGGCCAUUCUGCAUUCCUUUCAGCUUGCUAGGUAUGUCAUAAUUUUGGGAGAAAAGUGAUUUGAGAUAGUGCUGUAAAUUGAUCUUAUUUUUUAUUUUAUACUGGAUUAUAACAAUUUAUUUGAAUCUUUUUGCUGAAGAGCUAAUUCUUACGAUAGCCUGACAAAUAGACAACUUUGACAACUGAUGGCAGCCCUGCCGCACAGUUUACACAUAUCAUUUUAAUUACCAAGUACCAACUGGUAUGGUGCGGAAAUUUUGGCAAAAUGUUGAAUAAUGUUAAUCACUUUCUGUUUUUGCCUCGAUAUUACUUUACAUGUUAUACAAUUCUGGUAAAGAUGCUAAUCCAUUUCCAUUCAAAUGGCUCUGUAAUGUUUAAACUAUUUAAUAUUGGCACUAUCAUGAUUUCAGAAGUACCAAUUGCUUAAUGCCUGGCCUAGGUGAACAGAGUUACAGAGUAUGUUACUAUUGUUGUCAUUAUAUUCCUAGGAUUGGGAAAGCAAUUUGAAGAAACAUGGCUUCCAUUUAUGGCUAAACAAAUGCUGAUUGACCUUACAGAAAUUUUAUUAUGAAUUUGCAUGUGACUAUCUGAACACAUCCUGUUGUUAUGUUCAGUUGGGUGGCUGAAUUACAAAUUUAACUGCGAAAUAUCGAAACAGUUGAUUCUAUUUCCUUUUAAAUUACUUGAGCAGCCUAGCCUAGACUACUCUUGCGAAAAAUGGUCCAGAAACUUGGGAUUCAGCAUCAUACACAACUGGAUAUGAUUUAGCAUGCUUUGAUGUGUGAGCAAGGGCAGACUUAAAGCUCAUGCGCCAUCUUUGGAUUGGCCAAGAUGUGCUACAUGAUGCCACUAAGGCUGUGUUUGGAAUUGUGAUUGAGAGGUCAAAAAACUUGUUUGAAACUACUUUUAAAAUCACUCUUUUAAAUGUUAAAAAAAAACAAUUUGAAAAAGUAAUUUUAUUAUUUUGAAAUUUUUAUAAUUAAAAUGUCAAAUUUAAAUUAAAAUUUACGAUCUUCAAUAAAUAUUUUUAAGAUAAUGCAUUUUGUAAUAGCAAUUCAAACAGUAAUACUAAAUAAAUUUUUAAUGUUAUUCUCUGUUACUUUUGAUUAGGUGAUUUUCAUUCCUUCGAUUUUACUUUUUUUUUUUUUUCACUUAAAUAGGAAGAAAAUAUUUUCCCCAAGACUAUUUAAGAAUAGGAUUCUGUAGCAUUUUUCCCCCUAAUCAGCCCUAUUGUGCACGGAUAUGUGAUGUCUCCCAUUUAUGCAUUCAGAUUCAUUCAUAAUUUUCUGCACAUGUUAAUUUGUAUGUUGAAAGAUGUUUUAGGCAUUAAGAUUUAGCUCAAUAAUACGAGAAUUAUCUCUAAACUUGUAAGGUGUCGAAUUUAAAUUUCAAUCACAACUAAUUAUAAAUAAAUAAAUAUUUAGUCAUCGAUUCAAUGUGUUUAACCUGUCUGUUUUUCUGUUUUCUAUAUAUGUAAUUGGAGGUUACAGUGAUAAUUUCACUGGAUGCAACAUCUCGUAUCUGAAGUUUUGAUCUGCUCAUCAUUGAACUGAAGAUUCUCUUACAGACGAGUCAUCUUUCAACUUUCAUGCAAGGAUCUCUAAUUGCUGAUGGUCAUGCCCUUGCGUGUAACUGUUACAAUUCAAGAGUUUAGAGAAGCUAUUAUUUUGAAGAGCCGGGUUGACUCAAUUAUCCAACGAUUUUUCUCCCCCUAUUAAAUUAAUUUGUUUUGCAUAUUAGAAAUUAAGAAGCACAUCAAGCUGAGAGACAAUAUAGGUCAUAUUAAUAUUAAUAUUGUGCCACUUGCUUUAUCCACAUGGUCCGCAUAGCUUAGUACAACUAUUUUAAUUAUGUCAGUUCCGUUCUUAAUUUCUCAUUCGGCCAUGAUGAGACAAUAAUGGGGUUUUCAAGUUUACGAUCAUUGGCUAACGUACUUGUCUUGAUGGAGGCUUCUUAUUAAAUCUUGCAUGUGAAUCAGCUUCUAAUUAUUUUGAACAAUA